GACAGAGGGUGCAAACGUUGCUCGGAAUUACUGGGCGUAAAGGGCUCGUAGGCGGCCAACUAAGUCAGACGUGAAAUCCCUCAGCUUAACUGGGGAACUGCGUCUGAUACUGGAUGGCUUGGAUUCGGGAGAGGAAUGCGGAAUUCCAGGUGUAGCGGUGAAAUGCGUAGAUAUCUGGAGGAACACCGGUGGCGAAGGCGGCAUUCUGGACCGAUAUUGACGCUGAGGAGCGAAAGCCAGGGGAGCAAACGGG
rnacentral:rRNA from 1 species